UACGUAGGGGGCAAGCGUUGUCCGGAAUUACUGGGCGUAAAGGGCGCGUAGGCGGCCAACUAAGUCGAACGUGAAAUCCCCGGGCUCAACCCGGGAACUGCGUCCGAUACUGGAUGGCUUGAAUCCGGGAGAGGGAUGUGGAAUUCCAGGUGUAGCGGUGAAAUGCGUAGAUAUCUGGAGGAACACCGGUGGCGAAGGCGGCAUCCUGGACCGGUAUUGACGCUGAGGCGCGAAAGCCAGGGUAGCAAACGGG
rnacentral:rRNA from 1 species